rnacentral:rRNA from 1 species
GUGGGGAAUAUUGGGCAAUGGGGGCAACCCUGACCCAGCGACGCCGCGUGAGGGAAGAAGGCCUUAGGGUCGUAAACCUCUGUUGUGUGGGAAGAAGGAAGUGACGGUACCACACGAGGAAGUCCCGGCUAACUACGUGCCAGCAGCCACGGUAAUACGUAGGGGACGAGCGUUGUCCGGAAUUACUGGGCGUAAAGGGCGCGUAGGCGGUCAUUUAAGUCAGCUGUGAAAUGGUCCGGCUCAACCGGAUCAUGCGGUUGAAACUGGAUGACUGGAGUGCUGGAGAGGCAAGUGGAAUUCCCAGUGUAGCGGUGAAAUGCGUAGAUAUUGGGAAGAACACCGGUGGCGAAGGCGACUUGCUGGCCAGCAACUGACGCUGAGGCGCGAAAGCCAGGGGAGCAAACGGGAUUAGAAACCCCUGUAGUCC